rnacentral:rRNA from 1 species
UACGAAGGGGGCUAGCGUUGUUCGGAAUUACUGGGCGUAAAGCGCACGUAGGCGGAUAUUUAAGUUAGGGGUGAAAUCCCAGGGCUCAACCCUGGAACUGCCUCUAAUACUGGAUAUCUAGAGUCCGAGAGAGGUGAGUGGAAUUCCGAGUGUAGAGGUGAAAUUCGUAGAUAUUCGGAGGAACACCAGUGGCGAAGGCGGCUCACUGGCUCGGUACUGACGCUGAGGUGCGAAAGCGUGGGGAGCAAAC